rnacentral:rRNA from 1 species
GUGGGGAAUUUUGGACAAUGGGCGCAAGCCUGAUCCAGCCAUUCCGCGUGCAGGAUGAAGGCCUUCGGGUUGUAAACUGCUUUUGUACGGAACGAAAAGGUUCUCUCUAAUACAGGGGGCUGAUGACGGUACCGUAAGAAUAAGCACCGGCUAACUACGUGCCAGCAGCCGCGGUAAUACGUAGGGUGCAAGCGUUAAUCGGAAUUACUGGGCGUAAAGCGUGCGCAGGCGGUGCUGUAAGACAGGCGUGAAAGCCCCGGGCUCAACCUGGGAAGUGCGCUUGUGACUGCAGUGCUGGAGUACGGCAGAGGGGGAUGGAAUUCCGCGUGUAGCAGUGAAAUGCGUAGAUAUGCGGAGGAACACCGAUGGCGAAGGCAGUCCCCUGGGCCUGUACUGACGCUCAUGCACGAAAGCGUGGGGGGCAAACAGGAUUAGAUACCCCUGUAGUCC